AGUGAACGCUGGCGGUAGGCCUAACACAUGCAAGUCGAACGGCAGCACAGUAAGAGCUUGCUCUUACGGGUGGCGAGUGGCGGACGGGUGAGGAAUACAUCGGAAUCUACUUUUUCGUGGGGGAUAACGUAGGGAAACUUACGCUAAUACCGCAUACGACCUACGGGUGAAAGCAGGGGAUCUUCGGACCUUGCGCGAUUGAAUGAGCCGAUGUCGGAUUAGCUAGUUGGCGGGGUAAAGGCCCACCAAGGCGACGAUCCGUAGCUGGUCUGAGAGGAUGAUCAGCCACACUGGAACUGAGACACGGUCCAGACUCCUACGGGAGGCAGCAGUGGGGAAUAUUGGACAAUGGGCGCAAGCCUGAUCCAGCCAUACCGCGUGGGUGAAGAAGGCCUUCGGGUGGUAAAGCCCUUUUGUUGGGAAAGAAAAGCAGCAGGUUAAUACCCCGCUGUUCUGACGGUACCAAAAGAAUAAGCACCGGCUAACUUCGUG
rnacentral:rRNA from 1 species